UCCCUCCCAUUGUCAUGCCUCUCACCACUGCAGUACAGAGAGAGAGCUCUCAUCAUUACUGUACAGCUCGCUCUCUCUCUCUGUGGGGAGGUGUUCGCUGUUGGUUUGGGUUUGUGUGAUUCUCUCCCUCCGUCUCACGCAAACCCAGACUCAUCAAGAAACAUGGCUUUCGCCAUUUUCUCGUCAAGCCUCUCUCCGCAGUCUCCCUCUUUCUCGUUAACGGCUCAUAACCACCACCAUCCCCACUCUCCCUCUCACAGCUUCAUGAUCGUGACACGCCGUGUGAGCUCUGGGCAGUUGGUCUCCACUUCCCCCGCACAUCAUUCCUCUGCUAUCCCCCGUAGCCGCCGCCUCUCACCCAUUCUCUACUCUGGCGACGGGGGUGGCCCUGGUGGAAGUGGCGGAGGUGGAAAAGGAGGUGGCGGUGGCGGUGGCGGUGGCGAUGGCUCCCGCAACAGAAUUGAGGCUCUUCUUGCUUUAGCUGAGGUUUCGAGGACAAUGGACAGCAUACCCAAGGACUUGGGUGCAGCUAUACAGGCGGGGAAGGUGCCAGCAGCAGUGGUGGAGAGGUACUUGGAGCUUGAGAAGUCGGCGGUGUUCCGGUGGUUGCUUCAGUUUGGAGGAUUCAGGGAGAGGCUACUUGCCGAUGAUUUGUUCUUGGCCAAGGUUGCCAUGGAGUGUGGUGUUGGCAUCUUCACCAAGAGCGCUGCAGAGUUGGAGCGGCGAAGAGAAAGGUUUACAAAGGAGCUGGAUUUUGUUUUUGCAGAUGUGGUGAUGGCCAUUAUAGCAGAUUUUAUGCUGGUCUGGCUUCCUGCUCCCACUGUUUCUCUCCGACCUCCCUCGCUAUCAACGCAGGAGCACUUUCUACAUUCUUCUAUGGCUGUCCUGAUAAUGCUUUUCAGGUUGCUCUGGCUGGUAACUCUUACUCAUUGUUGCAGAGAAUAGGUGCAAUAGUGCGUAAUGGGGCCAAGCUUUUCGUAGUUGGGACUGGUGCAUCUCUGAUUGGUACAGGUUUGACAAAUGUGUUGAUAAAUACACGAAAGUUUUUUGAUAAGACCUUUGCGGUUGAGGCAGAGGAUGUGCCUGUUCUCUCCACCAGCGUUGCUUACGGAGUAUACAUGGCAGUUUCUAGCAAUCUAAGAUAUCAGGUCCUGGCUGGAGUUAUUGAACAAAGAAUCCUGGAGCCCUUGCUACACAAGCAAAAGAUCAUACUCAGUGCAAUCUGCUUCGCUGUUCGAACUGGCAAUACAUUCUUGGGUUCAUUAAUGUGGGUGGAUUACGCGCGAUGGGUAGGAAUUCAAAAGAUUCGAGAUUAAUACAUUGUUAAACAUCUAGACCUUUCACCAGCAAAUUGUAAUUCUGGAAUGUGCAUAUGUAAGAUUGCCUGUGCAAGAAUAAACCUAUCAGAGUAUGGGACAUUCAUGAGAAGAAGAAUAUAUUGGGAAGUAGUUUUAUUUGUGCUUCUGUUGCUUUUUGUUUAUAUAGAAGUGACUGCACAAAGUGUUGAUAGUU